rnacentral:rRNA from 1 species
ACGCUCGACACCUACGGGAGGUAGCAGUGGGGAAUAUUGGGCAAUGGAGGCAACUCUGACCCAGCAACGCCGCGUGAGUGAUGAAGGUCUUCGGAUUGUAAAACUCUUUAAGUAGGGACGAAGAAAGUGACGGUACCUACAGAAUAAGCCUCGGCUAACUACGUGCAAGCAGCCGCGGUAAUCUGAGCGGGCUGGCAAGGC